UAAUAGUUUCAAUAUGUACUUCCUAAUUGGCAGGGUCAUCUAAUACAGUCCUCUGAAUUGCAGUCAUAUCAGUAUUAAUAUUCACCCUCUGCAUCUUCUCAUCAUGUUGCACAGAUUGCACUGGCAGGCUAGGCAAUGUAUUUGCAGGAAUUGUUAAGCUUACCAGUGUAUCUGCAUUAGCUUUAGGCAGCCAUUCCUGCUUUGUUAUCUUUGCUGGUUUUUUAACUCUAGUCCUUUGCCUUAUUUUCUUCCCUAGCUCUUGCAUCUCCUUUACCCCAUCAUUAUGU
rnacentral:lncRNA from 1 species